GACAGAGGGUGCAAACGUUGUUCGGAAUUACUGGGCGUAAAGCGCGUGUAGGCGGUCUCAUAAGUCGGGCGUGAAAGCCCUGGGCUCAACCCAGGAAGUGCACUCGAUACUGCGAGGCUAGAGUAUCGGAGAGGUUGGUGGAAUUCUCGGUGUAGAGGUGAAAUGCGUAGAUAUCGGGAGGAACACCAGUGGCGAAGGCGACUACCUGGCCUGUUCUUGACGCUGAGGCGCGAAAGCUAGGGGAGCAAACGGG
rnacentral:rRNA from 1 species